UUGGAGGGCAAGUCUGGUGCCAGCAGCCGCGGUAAUUCCAGCUCCAAUAGCGUAUAUUAAAGUUGUUGCAGUUAAAAAGCUCGUAGUUGAAUUUCGGGACCAAUUUGUUGGUCGUGCCUCGGUACGUACUGGUAUUAUUGGUUUCUCCCUUCUGAAGAACCUUGAUGUCAUUAAUUUGGUGUCUUGGGGAAUCAGGACUGUUACUUUGAAAAAAUUAGAGUGUUUAAAGCAGGCAUACGCUUGAAUACAUUAGCAUGGAAUAAUGAAAUAGGACGUUUGAUUCUAUUUUGUUGGUUUCUAGGAUCGACGUAAUGAUUAAUAGGGAUAGUUGGGGGCAUUAGUAUUCAAUUGUCAGAGGUGAAAUUCUUGGAUUUAUUGAAGACUAACUACUGCGAAAGCAUUUGCCAUGGAUGUUUUCAUUAAUCAAGAACGAAAGUUAGGGGAUCGGAGACGAUCAGAUACCGUCGUAGUCUUAACCAUAAACUAUGCCGACUAGGGAUCGGAUGAUGUUAAUUUUUUAAUGACCCAUUCGGCGCCUUACGGGAAACCAAAGUGUUUGGGUUC
rnacentral:rRNA from 1 species